rnacentral:rRNA from 1 species
AUCUGGAAGAAUCUGGAGACAGGUGCUGCAUGGCUGUCGUCAGCUCGUGUCGUGAGAUGUUGGGUUAAGUCCCGCAACGAGCGCAACCCUUGCCUUUAGUUGCCAGCAGUUCGGCUGGGCACUCUAAAGGGACUGCCGGUGUUAAACCGGAGGAAGUGGGGGAUGACGGUCAAGUCCUCAUGGCCUUUAUGACCAGGGCUACACACGUACUACAAUGGCCGAUACAAAGGGCAGCGACACUGCGAGGGUGAAGCCAAUCCCGUAAAAAUCGGUCUCAGUCCGGAUUGGAGUCUGCAACUCGACUCCAUGAAGUUGGAAUCGCUAGUAAUCGUGGAUCAGCAUGCCACGGUGAAUACGUUCCCGGGCCUU